AUAUAGUUAAGCAAAUCUUGGCAAAGCCAAUUCAAUUAGCUGAUCAGGUGAUUCAGGCAGCUGAUGAGGCAGUUUUAUUCAAUCAUGAAUGUGCUGAGCUCAAGUCCAAGACUGAGAAGCUGAUUGUGCUGCUUCGUCAAGCAGCACGAGCCAGCAACGAGCUCUAUCAACGACCCAUGAGCCGAAUUAUUGAUGAUACUGAACAAGCUUUGGAAAGAGCUAUGUCUAUUGUUAUCAAAUGUUGCACUCAGGGACUAGUAAAGCGCGUAUUUACCAUCAUACCUUCUGCAGAUUUCCGUAACUUGUCUACACAGUUAGAAAAUUCUAUUAGUAAUGUGUCGUGGCUCCUUCGUGUAUCUGCCUCAGCUGACGAGGGUGCUGAUAGGUAUUUAGGACUUCCUCCUAUUGUUACUAAUGAGCCUAUAUUGUGUUUUAUUUGGGAGCAUAUAGCGAUUUUGUGUACUGGUUCGGUUAAUGAUCGAUCUGAUGCUGCUGCAUCUUUGGUUUCAUUGGCUAGAGAUAAUGACCGGAACAGAAAAUUGAUCAUCGAAGAAGGUGGAGUAGGGCCACUGUUGAAAUUGUUGAAGGAAGGGAAAUUGGAGGGUCAGGAGAAUGCUGCAAAGGCAAUUGGAUUGCUAGGAUGUGACCCUGUAAGUGUUGAACACAUGGUGAACGCUGGGGUGUGUUUAGUGUUAGUGAAAAUCCUUAAAGAAGGUCUAAUGAAAGUUCAAGCAGUGGUGGCUUGGGCA
rnacentral:misc_RNA from 1 species